UACAGAGGGGGCAAGCGUUGUUCGGAAUUACUGGGCGUAAAGGGCGCGUAGGCGGCCCGCUAAGUCGAACGUGAAAUCCCCAGGCUCAACCUGGGAACUGCGUCCGAUACUGGCAGGCUUGAAUCCGGGAGAGGGAUGUGGAAUUCCAGGUGUAGCGGUGAAAUGCGUAGAGAUCAGGAAGAACACCGGUGGCGAAAGCGUUCUGCUAGACCUGUACUGACACUGAGGGACGAAAGCUAGGGGAGCGAAUGGG
rnacentral:rRNA from 1 species